rnacentral:rRNA from 2 species
UACGUGCCAGCAGCCGCGGUAAUACGUAGGUGGCAAGCGUAGUACCGGAAUAGGGCGUAAAGGGCUCGCAGGCGGUUUCUUAAGUCUGAUGUGAAAGCCCCCGGCUCAACCGGGGAGGGUCAUUGGAAACUGGGAAACUUGAGUGCAGAAGAGGAGAGUGGAAUUCCACGUGUAGCGGUGAAAUGCGUAGAGAUGUGGAGGAACACCAGUGGCGAAGGCGACUCUCUGGUCUGUAACUGACGCUGAGGAGCGAAAGCGUGGGGAGCGAACAGGAUUAGAUACCCUGGUAGUCCACGCCGUAAACGAUGAGUGCUAAGUGUUAGGGGGUUUCCGCCCCUUAGUGCUGCAGCUAACGCAUUAAGCACUCCGCCUGGGGAGUACGGUCGCAAGACUGAAACUCAAAGGAAUUGACGGGGGCCCGCACAAGCGGUGGAGCAUGUGGUUUAAUUCGAAGCAACGCGAAGAACCUUACCAGGUCUUGACAUCCUCUGACAACCCUAGAGAUAGGGCUUUCCCUUCGGGGACAGAGUGACAGGUGGUGCAUGGUUGUCGUCAGCUCGUGUCGUGAGAUGUUGGGUUAAGUCCCGCAACGAGCGCAACCCUUGAUCUUAGUUGCCAGCAUUUAGUUGGGCACUCUAAGGUGACUGCCGGUGACAAACCGGAGGAAGGUGGGGAUGACGUCAAAUCAUCAUGCCCCUUAUGACCUGGGCUACACACGUGCUACAAUGGACAGAACAAAGGGCUGCGAGACCGCAAGGUUUAGCCAAUCCCACAAAUCUGUUCUCAGUUCGGAUCGCAGUCUGCAACUCGACUGCGUGAAGCUGGAAUCGCUAGUAAUCGCGGAUCAGCAUGCCGCGGUGAAUACGUUCCCCGGGCCUUGUACACACCGCCCGUCACACCACGAGAGUUUGCAACACCCGAAGUCGUGAGGUACCUUUAUGGAGCAGCCGCCCAAGGUGGGCA